rnacentral:piRNA from 1 species
UACUGUCACCAAAGGGGCUGAGUCCUCAGU